UCUCUAUAGGCCUAUUUAAUCCCGUCACUCCAUACUGUCCACUCCCGGAUCGCAGGAGGAGGAGAGGACGGCGCGACUGCAUGGAAUAAAGCAUCUGUCCAACAUGUGUCAAUAACAUAAUAUUUUUAUGUGACACUGUGAACACAUAAUCAAAAUCAAAUGUCAAUUAAAUCCCAAGUGUGGAAAACCAAGCCACAUACUCCUCAUCACAAUCGUUAUAUUAUUGUCCGUUCCUCUUGAUGCUUCUCAUGACAAAUCAGGGAUUAAAAAGGGGUUAUGUUCAAAAUCCAUUUACGUGGGUGAUUACAAACUGAUUUUCCAAGGUGUUCUCGUUCAGUCUUAUUACCGUAACCUUAUAAAUACAGCGGUGAGCCCCGUGCGUAAUGCUGCACCAUGGCACUGCUGGCACUGCUGGAGGACCAUGCAAAUGGCAUGAUUCGGAGGGAGAGGGUCUUCAGGGACCAUAACGAUUUAUUGGCCCAUGAUGAUGACUGGUUAAUGAGCCGUUUUAGAUUCCCUAGAGCUAUACUCUUGGAUCUAUGUGCUGAACUGGGUCCAGCAUUGGAAAGGGCAACACGUAGGAACCACGCAAUCCCGGUGCAGACGCAGGUCCUCACCACUUUGGGGUUCCUGGCAACCGGCUGUUUCCAACGGGAAUUGGCAGACAGAUCCGGUAUAUCACAGCCAUCCCUCAGUGCCCUAAUGCCCAGCGUUUUAAAUGGCAUCAUACAUAUGGGCAGUCGAUACAUAAGGUUUCCCUACACAGUGGAAGAACAGGCCGAGAUUAAAAGGCAAUUUGCAGCAAUGUCCGAUUUCCCAAACGUAAUCGGCGCAAUUGACUGCACUCAUAUUGCUAUAAGGGCUCCAUCUGAACAUGAGUUUGCUUACGUCAACCGCAAGCACGUGCACACUAUUAAUGUUCAAGUUAUAUGUGAUGCCCAUAUGAACUUGACAAACAUAGUGGCACGUUGGCCUGGUGCAACACAUGAUUCCUUUAUUCUGACGCACAGUAGUGUAGGGAACAGACUACAGGCAGGCGCGGGGCGGGAUGGCUGGCUUCUAGGGGACAGUGGAUACCCCCUGAGACGCUGGCUCCUCACCCCAGUUUUGAACGCGCAAAGCGCCGAGGAACAGCGAUAUAAUGAGG